rnacentral:rRNA from 1 species
AGGGCACCACCAGGAGUGGAGCCUGCGGCUUAAUUUGACUCAACACGGGAAAUCUCACCUAGCCCGGACACUGUUAAGAUUGACAGGCUAAAAGCCCUUUCAUGAUUCAGCGGAUAGUGGUGCAUGGCCGUUCUUAGUUCGUGGAGUGAUUUGUCUGGUUAAUUCCGGUAACGAACGAGACUCAGUCUUGCUAACUAGUGACUGGCUGCCUUGUGCAGUGCAGUUGCUUCUUAGAGGAACUGGGGGCUUUGAAGCCUCACGAAAUUGAGCAAUAACAGGUCUGUGAUGCCCUUAGAUGUUUAGGGCUGCACGCGCGCUACAAUGAUCAGGUCAGCAUGUAGUACUGGGCUGGAAACGGCUUGGGAAUCAUGUGAAUCCUGAUCGUGACUGGGAUAGAGAAUUGUAAUUAUUUUUCUUGAACGAGGAAUUCCUAGUAAACGCAAGUCAUAAGCUUGCAUUGAUUACGUCCCUGCCCUUUGUACACACCGCCCGUCGCUAGUAGCGAUUGAUUGCUUAGCG